rnacentral:rRNA from 1 species
GUUUGAUCAUGGCUCAGGACGAACGCUGGCGGCGUGCUUAACACAUGCAAGUCGAGCGGAAAGGCCCUUCGGGGUACUCGAGCGGCGAACGGGUGAGUAACACGUGAGCAACCUGCCCCUAGCUCUGGGAUAGCUCCGGGAAACCGGUGCUAAUACCGGAUACCUUCACCGAAUCGCAUGGUCUGGUGAAGAAAUGGAUUCCGCUUCGGGAUGGCCUCGCGGCCUAUCAGCUAGUUGGUGAGGUAAUGGCUCACCAAGGCGACGACGGGUAGCUGGUCUGAGAGGAUGAUCAUUCCCACUGGGACUGAGACACGGCCCAGACUCCUACGGGAGGCACCAGUGGGGAAUAUUGGAC